rnacentral:RNase_P_RNA from 1 species
AGAGUAAGCCGAAUAGUCGCUGAUGAAAACCGUAAGGUUUCAUGAGAGGAAAGUCCGGGCUCCAUAGAGCAAUGGUGCUAGAUAACGUCUAGUGAGGGUAACCUUAAGGAAAGUGCAACAGAAAAUUACCGCCAAAUUUUGGUAAGGGUGAAAAGGUGAGGUAAGAGCUCACCGGAAGAAUGGUGACAUUCUUUGUUCGUGUAAACCCCACCUGGAGCAACACCACUCAUAAAUAAGAAGAAAAAGAACUGCUCGUUCCUUUUUAUGUGAUGUAGGUGGCUUGAAAUAUAUAGCAAUAUAUAUUCUAGAUAAAUGGCUAUUCAAGACAGAACCCGGCUUAUAGACUUACUUUAAUA